rnacentral:rRNA from 1 species
UACGAAGGGGGCUAGCGUUGCUCGGAAUCACUGGGCGUAAAGGGUGCGUAGGCGGGUCUUUAAGUCAGGGGUGAAAUCCUGGAGCUCAACUCCAGAACUGCCUUUGAUACUGGCGAUCUCGAGUCCGGGAGAGGUGAGUGGAACUGCGAGUGUAGAGGUGAAAUGCGUAGAUAUAUGAAAGAACAUCAAUAUGGCGAAGGCAGUUAACUAUUCUGCUACUGACAUUGAGGCAUGAAAGCGUGGGGAGCAAAACGG